rnacentral:lncRNA from 1 species
CGGCCUGCCGCCGCGGCGGCAUCUGGCUUGACCCAUCUUAUCACCGUCUUCUCUGGCACUCAGUAUUUGGAGUAAUCAGUUGUUACCAGUUGCGGAGGCAGCGCAUAGCACAACGUAGUACCUGGAACCUGACGGCACCUAGCAUGUUUCAACAGUUAGCGCCCGCAUCACCCCAAGGGAUUAAAUUUGGCAUUCUUUCUCUUGAGACUCAAGUCCUGGCAGAGCUGUUGAUCCUCUCACAAGAUUCUGUCAUGU